CCUACGGGCGGCAGCAGUGAGGAAUAUUGGUCAAUGGGCGGGAGCCUGAACCAGCCAAGCCGCGUGAGGGAAGAAGGUCCUACGUAUUGUAAACCUCUUUUGUCAAGGAACAAAGUCAGGGACUAGUCCCCGGUUGAGGGUACCUGAAGAAAAAGCAUCGGCUAACUCCGUGCCAGCAGCCGCGGUAAUACGGAGGAUGCGAGCGUUAUCCGGAUUUAUUGGGUUUAAAGGGUGCGCAGGGGGGCUGUUAAGUCAGCGGGGAAAGCCCCGGGCUCAACCCCCGACGUGCGGUUGAAAUGGGCGGGCUGGAGUUGGAGAGAGGUAGGCGGAAUGCGCGGUGUAGCGGUGAAAUGCUUAGAUAUCGCGCAGAACCCCGAUUGCGAAGGCAGCGUACCGGCUCCACACUGACGCUGAGGCACGAAAGCGUGGGUAUCGAACAGGAUUAGAUACCCGAGUAGUC
rnacentral:rRNA from 1 species